GAUGAACGCUAGCUACAGGCUUAACACAUGCAAGUCGAGGGGCAGCACAGUGUAGCAAUACAUGGGUGGCGACCGGCGCACGGGUGCGUAACGCGUAUCCAACCUUCCCGUUACUCUUGGAUAGCCUUCCGAAAGGGAGAUUAAUACAGGAUGGUGUUUGAAUUCCGCAUGUUCUUCAAACUAAAGAUUCAUCGGUAACGGAUGGGGAUGCGUGACAUUAGAUAGUAGGCGGGGUAAUGGCCCACCUAGUCUACGAUGUCUAGGGGUUCUGAGAGGAAGGUCCCCCACACUGGGACUGAGACACGGUCCAGACUCCUACGGGAGGCAGCAGUGAGGAAUAUUGGUCAAUGGCCGGAAGGCUGAACAGCCAAGUAGCGUGAAGGAUGAAGGUUCUAUGGAUUGUAAACUUCUUUUAUACGGGGAUAAAACCACCUACGUGUAGGUGCUUGUAUGUACCGUAUGAAUAAGCAUCGGCUAACUCCGUGCCAGCAGCCGCAGUAACAC
rnacentral:rRNA from 1 species